CUCUUGUGGAUCUGUGUGUUCUGGAAGAUGAAAAAUAACAGAGCAAAUAGCAACUAGCAACAUACCACAGGCUGGAGAAGACAUUUGCAAAGCUGCCCCAUAUCUACAGGUCGAUGGAAGCUGAGUAGGAGACACUUGUCACACGCUACCAGUACAAGCAUACUGACAUGGCCUUAGACAAUAG
rnacentral:lncRNA from 1 species